rnacentral:rRNA from 1 species
GGGCUUGCCCUGGGGCAAAGCCGCGAACGGGUGAGUAUCACGUGGGUAACGUGCCCCGAUGACCGGGACAACCCGAGGAAACUCGGGCUAAUACCGGAUGUGCUGUGUGGCCUCAAGGCCAUUCAGCAAAGGAAGCUUCGGCCUCCGCAUUGGGAGCGGCCCGCGGCCCAUUAGCUUGUUGGUGAGGUAAAGGCUCACCAAGGCAACGAUGGGUAGCUGGUCUGAGAGGACGAUCAGCCACACUGGGACUGAGACACGGCCCAGACUCCUACGGGAGGCAGCAGUGGGGAAUCUUGCGCAAUGCGCGAAAGCGUGACGCAGCAACGCCGCGUGAGGGAAGAAGGCCUUCGGGUUGUAAACCUCUUUCAGGAGGGACGAAGGUUCAGGCGCGAAUAGCGUCCUGGACUGACGGUACCUCCAGAAGAAGCUCCGGCUAACUACGUGCCAGCAGCCGCGGUAAUACGUAGGGAGCAAGCGUUGUCCGGAAUCAUUGGGCGUAAAGAGCGCGUAGGCGGCCCUGUAAGUCCGCUCUGAAAGUCAAAGGCUCAACCUUUGGAAGCGGGUGGAUACUGCAGGGCUAGAGUCCGGAAGAGGCGAGUGGAAUUCCUGGUGUAGCGGUGGAAUGCGCAGAUAUCAGGAGGAACACCAACGGCGAAGGCAGCUCGCUGGGACGGUACUGACGCUGAGGCGCGAAAGCGUGGGGAGCAAACAGGA